UGAGAGUUGCAAAACUCCCAAAACCCUUUGUGAACUUACCUGAACUUGUUGCUCCGGCAGGCGGCCCCAGGGCGGGGCCUGCAGCCUGUGCUUAGCGCGGGUGCCUGUCGGAUGUAUCGAGACUCCUGAAAUUGUUUGUCUUCUGAGUCGUGGCGGCGAAAAUAAAUCAA
rnacentral:misc_RNA from 1 species